rnacentral:lncRNA from 1 species
GUUUAAAAAAUGUCGGAAAAAAUGAUGAGACGGUUUGAGAUGAUGAUUGAGAAUAUGGAAAAUAAGAUGGAUAGGAUUGAUUCGAAAUUGGCUAAGUUGCAUAGAGAUCAACGUGAUGAGGUGCAAAAUGUUAGGAGACGGGGGCCUAGAAUUAAAAUGUGUGAUGCAUAUGGAUAUGGAUGUGGUAUUGAUGAGGUACGGGGAUUGAGGAAUAAAUAUGAUAGGUUCGAAGGAAGGGAUAUGAGAGAUCGGCGUGAACGGGAGUUUAGGGAGAUGCCUAGGAAAUAUUAUGGGGAUUAUCCAGUGGAGAAGAAAACAUCUUUUGCUAAGUGUGCGGGUAGUACAUCAAGUAAGAGUGUUGGGUUGGAUUAUAAACAGGAAUUCUCCGAGAUUCUCGACAUUCUUAGGUCUCAAAUUAAUCAUCCGAAGGAACGGAAGGAGCAAGAGAGUAAAAGAGAAAUUAAUGGAGUGGUUGAUUGUGAGAAAAAAGAAUAUGAGCCACAAGAAAGUGAAAGGGAUGAAGUGGUUAAAAUAGAAGUGGAGUCAUGGAUGAAAAUGAAGUAGAGUCUUUGGAGAUCGAAAAGGAGUUGGGAGUGAACUUGCAUGAAAAGGAAGUUAAAAUUGAGGAGGCAUUGGCGAACACUAACAUUUCCCUCCCUAGUUUAGAUAAAUUUGUUUUGCAGGUUCACGACGACUUGAUUCCAAAAAUUAAUUCAAUUAGAAUCCCUUACAUCCCGGGCAUUAAUUACCAAAUGGUGGAUACAAUUCAACAACAACCACAUCCUAGUUGGACAUCACUAUUUUACCGAAGAUUGAUUUUGUUAUCCCUAAGGAGACGAAAGAAUUUCAAAAGCAAUGGAAGGAAUUAAUAUACAAGGAGUUGAGCUACAAAGUCGAUAUGUUGGGAAACAUGCAUCCGGUGGAAGUAAUAUUGUCAACAUCACCUGGGCCGAGUAAAGCAUGGAAAAUGAACAGUGAUUUAUCAGUUGAAAUUAUUCUUGGAGCAUCACAAAAUGGCAAAAAGAAACCGUCAAGGCAUACACACUUUGAUCUGUGUAAGGGUGAUUGGGUCUAUAUUCAAAAGAGGAGAGUUUGAUGUCAAAAG